CUACGGGCGGCAGCAGGCGCGAAACCUCUACAAUGCACGAAAGUGUGAUAGGGGGAUCCAGAGUGCUCAUACAUUGUAUGGGCUUUUGCCAAAGAUAAAUCCUUUGGCGAAUAAGUGGUGGGCAAGACUGGUGCCAGCCGCCGCGGUAACACCAGCGCCACAAGUGGGAGCCACAAUUAUUGGGCCUAAAGCGUUCGUAGCCGGUUUGAUAAAUCUUCUGUGAAAUUGUCCAGCCUAACUGAACAACGUGCAGGAGACACUGUCAAACUUGAGACCGGGAGGAGCUAGGGGUAUUCUUGGGGGAGCGGUAAAAUGUUAUAAUCCCUUGAAGACCACCUGUGGCGAAGGCGCCUAGCUAGAACGGAUCUGACGGUGAGGGACGAAAGCCAGGGGAGCGAUCCGGAUUAGAUACCCGAGUAGUC
rnacentral:rRNA from 1 species